CUGUCGUAGAGCAGCUCGGUAGCUCGCCGAGCCUCGUAAGCUGGAGGUCGCAGGUUCGAACGACGCAACCUAUCUCACGGG
rnacentral:tRNA from 1 species